AAAUAAUGUUCUUCAUUUACCACAAAGUAGACAAUUCUGCUCCAAGUCAUUCCCCAAAAGGUCUGUUGGGUUUCUCCUGUAGGCUGUGAGAUGGCAAGGAGUCCUUGCUGCCUCCUGCAAAAGCCCAGCUCCAAGAAUUUGUCAGAUCCACCUGGCCAAGUAGGGUGCAGACUGUAAAUUGCGGCAGAAAAUGUUGGCAAAGGAGCAGAAUGGGCAUCCCGUCAGUAGAGGAGCUCCUACUUCUAGCUGUCUCAAAGGACUCUCCAUUUUCUCUCCCUGACAGUAUUCAUUGGUCUUAAUGCUCUUGAUUUUGGUUUUCUUCAGGGACAAUGAGAACAGAAGCUGCUUUUGUCCUCCCCCAACACACAACAGAAACAGGAGAACUGAAACCUCAGCUGAAGCUCCUGCUCUCCCAUUUCGAUAUCCCAUGUGACGUGGAAGAGCUAUGGGACUCUGCUAAGGAAAUGGAACUUUUUUCCUUGAUCAAGCCAAAAUGUGAUCCGUGGCAAAGGAAGCUUUUGACUAAAUUAAAAGAACGGAGAAGAACAGAUGCAUUAUUGCAACUCCAAGCAAAAUUUUUGAAGAUUUCCAACCCUGAGCGAGUAAUGCAAGUGCUCCAAGAUCAUGCUGCAAAGAUAGUCAUGCUGGCUCCACAUCAUCCAUCCUUUGUGGCUUCCCAGGGUUUGCAUCAGUGCGACUAUGACCAAGUCUGGGAGAAUAUUUACAGCAACAUCAACCUCUGUCAGAAUAAAAAUAUGAAGGAUGAUGACCUCUCCAUGAAACAAAAUGGAAAUGAUCUAUCACAAAUAAAUCUCAGCCAACAUGCUAAUGGGCCUCUCGAGCAGAUACAAGAGACGGGGUAAAGUAAAUUAUAUUAUUAGUGACUCAAAAAGUGGAUUAAAACACUGUGCGGGAAACAGAGUGACUGAUUAAUAUGUAGUUUACAUGUUAACUCAAAAAGUCAGAAUGAAAUAAGAAGUCAGAAUGAAAGCAAGACUUUUAAAACAGGUCAGACAACUAAACUAAUGCUUCACCCUAUGACUGUUUUUAAUGAGAGUAAUUUCUAAGAGAAACUUGUCUUUACAUGUAUAUAUGGAGUAAUUAUUUCCCCUCAGUACAUUUAUAAAAUGAAGCUAUCAUGAAACACCCCUAAAUUAAAUAAAAUGACUUUAGUUUUGGGCAUGUGAAUUUUUGGCAUCACUUCGAGGUGAAAUGGAUUUAUGAUCUCUCUCCUGCCUGCUAAAGGUACAACUAUGCAAUGACCCUACAACUGCUGGGCUUGGAUGACGGCACUGAGCCCAGUGAUAGGAAUCCUGUCCUGAUGAGAGGUGCCUACUUGUCUUUUCUGUAUCUGCGCCAUCUUCGAAUCAGAGAACUGCAGGUAUGUGGAUGGCAGGCAUCAGAAAUGUCUGCUUGUCUAGAAAAGAGGAUUUUCUGCUAUUCCAAUAGCAAAUGCCAUUUUAUGCUUUUGCCCUUUGUUCCUUUUUUUUUUUUUUUUUUUUUUUUUUUUUGUGUUCCUUUCUCCACAGUAGGGUUGAUCUGCCAUCAAGUUGUAUUCUGUAGGGUGAACUAGGCAAAGGGCAGGGAGCUGACUCUGUUCUUUCUUUGUUUCAGCGCAUCUGCUUAGGAAUUCUGAAUUAUUUCAGAUCUGUUGAGCGAACCCUGACAAUCAACACUUCGGGCCUUACCUUGGUUUCAGGGAAACUGGUCCCCACCAUGGCAGAUAGUUCCUGGGUAAAUAUGGCAAAAGGAGGUCUGGGCACCUCGCAGGGCCUGGGCGCUCACCACUAUGUCCAUGAGACGCCUGCUGAGCACAAGGUGAGGUGUUGUGCUGACGUUUUUUCUUCCUUGAUUAUCCUGCCUCCCAAAGCCACUCUCUAGAUAAGACCUGGAAUCAGUUAACAUGAUGCAGUAACAGAUGGGGGGUUCUUAGGGAAGAGGCCUUUUAAUCAUAAUAAAACACAAGGUCUCCUUAAGAGCAAUUCACAGGCAGAGAGUGCCCUAAAGCAGCCCUGGAGGCCACACUGGGAAGGAAGAAAUAGAGUGUGAGAGGCCCUUCUGUUACCCUGGCCUGAGAACUUACAUCCUUACAGAGACACUCUUAGAAGACCCCCCCUCGACAUUGCUAUAUAUACCUUUUUUUGCCUCUUUUCUGUUUUCCAAGCCUCCAAAAAAAAAAAAAAAAAAAAAGACUCAAAACAGAGGUAGAAAAACAUUGGACAGAGCUGAACAAUAAAGAAAUAUUUUAUCCCUCUAAACACCUGCUUGACCCUUAGUGCUUUUGGUGUUUCUAGAACAGUUUUUUCUACAAAGUCUAUAAAAUUUCAAUCCUGCCUAACAAAAGGCCAAUAAGACAAAAUUCAUAUUAACUCCCUUUCUUUGGGAAUAAAGUUGAGAAUGCUUACAUUUUAUUGGACUAUUGUAGACACUCUUGUAAUAUUUUAAUCUCAAUUUCUAGAGAGUUUAUUCCUGAAGAUAGAGUUUAAUAUGAAUUUUUAUCUUCUUAAAAAUGCUAGAUUGACAAAGGUGAAAAAUGAAAUCUACUUAGCUCCAAAACAAGCCAUUUUCUAAGCUAGUGUGACCUCUGACUUAUGCCUGUUGUGUCUGUAAGUGUGAAAUAUUACUGUUAAGUGUUGUUCAUAUGCACACAGUCUAGAGCAGCACUGGCCAGCAGAAAUAUAAUGCAAGCCACAUACAUUAUUUAAAAUGUUCCAGUAGCUACAUUUUAAAAAGUAUAUGUAAUCCUAGCACUUUGGGAGGCCGAGACGGGCGGAUCACGAGGUCAGGAGAUCGAGACCAUCCUGGCUAACACGGGUGAAACCCCCGUCCUCUAAAAGAAUACAAC
ensembl:lincRNA